GAUGAACGCUGGCGGCGUGCCUAAUACAUGCAAGUCGAGCGAACAGAUGAGGAGCUUGCUCCUCUGACGUUAGCGGCGGACGGGUGAGUAACACGUGGAUAACCUACCUAUAAGACUGGGAUAACUGGGAAACCGGAGCUAAUACCGGAUAAUAUAUUGAACCGCAUGGUUCAAUAGUGAAAGACGGUUUUGCUGUCACUUAUAGAUGGAUCCGCGCCGCAUUAGCUAGUUGGUAAGGUAACGGCUUACCAAGGCAACGAUGCGUAGCCGACCUGAGAGGGUGAUCGGCCACACUGGAACUGAGACACGGUCCAGACUCCUACGGGAGGCAGCAGUAGGGAAUCUUCCGCAAUGGGCGAAAGCCUGACGGAGCAACGCCGCGUGAGUGAUGAAGGUCUUCGGAUCGUAAAACUCUGUUAUUAGGGAAGAACAAAUGUGUAAGUAACUAUGCACGUCUUGACGGUACCUAAUCAGAAAGCCACGGCUAACUACGUG
rnacentral:rRNA from 1 species